UACGGAGGGUGCAAGCGUUAUCCGGAUUCACUGGGUUUAAAGGGUGCGUAGGAGGGCAGGGAAGUCCGUGGUGAAAUCUCCGAGCUUAACUCGGAAACUGCCGUGGAUACUCUCUGUCUUGGAUCCCGUGGAGAUGAGCGGAAUAUGUCAUGUAGCGGUGAAAUGCUUAGAUAUGACAUAGAACACCAAUUGCGAAGGCAGCUCGUUACACGAAGAUUGACUCUGAGGCACGAAAGCGUGGGGAUCAAACAGG
rnacentral:rRNA from 1 species